GAUGAAACCUUCCCAUAAUCUUUCUCUACUGAAUUUUCUGAUUUUCAUUUUCUCAUAUCAUCAAACAUGUCGAAGUCUACCAACCGGUGGAUAGAUCGAGACUCGAAAUCAGUAAGGAUAUUAUGAUUGGUACAACGGUCUGUUGGUUUUAUGAGAUUUAGGGUUUUCAAUAUUUUGGGUUUAGAAAUUGUAAGAAGAUGAAACCCCCAAAAUCAAGAGUUUGCUAUUAUAACCCUUCUUUUGAUUGAAAUUUUAUGAAUAUUUGUUGAUUUGAAAUGAUGAUUUGAGUUCUGAUUUGAAAUAGUUAUCAGACCCCUAAAUCCAGAAUCUUCAUAUAACAGAUGAACUCUCAUAUUCCAGCGCUAGCUCCUCCUACCCUAAAUCAGUUCGUACUAUACGUCAGGAAGCAAAAGAACCAUUUGUCUAAUGAGAUUUACCAUGUCCCAAUACUAUCAAUAUGAUUUAAACAUUGGGUUUGUAUCUAAUUUGUGUCUGCAGGGAAGGACUUUAUUUGGGUAGUCUCCAGAGUGCAGCCUGCACCUAAUCCGCAUCAGUUGCAAGACGCACAUUUACUGCUUGACAAAAUGCCUGAAACACCAGAAUUAUUGGGCCAAAUCCAGAUGCCAGGACGAUAAACAUGGACCCUGCGCAUAAAGUCCAUUUCUUAUCUACUCAAACUGGUUAGUGACAUACAAGUUUAAGAUGCAGCUUAUACAUCUGUUGUACAGAUUAUAUGAUAGGCUUGAAAUAAGAGGGGAAGGCUAAUGAUGGAGGUAGAGGUCGGUGAACAUGCAAAGAAAAAUGAACGGAUGAGAAUGCCUGCAACACAAGGGAUUAGCAUAUUAAUGCUCAUUGACCAAUGAAACAGAGGUGUUUGGACGUGAUGGAAAGGGCUGCGUUCGUGCGAUGGGUGGCGAGGCAUCGAAGACAGAAAUACAUACUUGCUUCUGCAGCUUGUAGGCGAACAAUUACGUAUGGAGAAAUUGAAAAAUCAAGAUCUUCAAACUCAGCUAAAUACUUUAGAGGAAAGAGUUAAUGUUUUUGAGGCAGGAAGGCAGGACAACAAUACUGCUUAAUCAUCCUCGGCUGCUCCACAACAGUAUCUAGUAAUUGGAUGUGUCUUGUCGAAUUUAAAGAAGAAGGCAGUUGCAGUUGGACGUGUUAAAUUCAGACCACCACCAAAUACUGAAAAUUAUGAAGUCCUUAUCGAUGAAAUUGCUGAUAGACAUAUGAAACUGUGUUGGAGAUGGGACAAUUGGACAUAUUGAUCUUGGUGAGACGAUUGAAUGGCUAAAGCAAUACGUAAAUGGUGCACUUGGAUGUUAAAACGUAUUGUUUUAUUUUUUUAUGUUAUGUUGAAAAUGAAGUAACUUUUGUUGUUGAUUCAGAGAUGUUUGGGUUGUUAAUUUGUUAACAGAAACCAAAGUUAAUUUUAAUAGAAUGGGUUGCAGUUGCUU